rnacentral:rRNA from 1 species
GAUGAACGCUGGCGGCGUGCCUAAUACAUGCAAGUCGAGCGAACAGACGAGGAGCUUGCUCCUCUGACGUUAGCGGCGGACGGGUGAGUAACACGUGGAUAACCUACCUAUAAGACUGGGAUAACUUCGGGAAACCGGAGCUAAUACCGGAUAAUAUAUUGAACCGCAUGGUUCAAUAGUGAAAGACGGUUUUGCUGUCACUUAUAGAUGGAUCCGCGCCGCAUUAGCUAGUUGGUAAGGUAACGGCUUACCAAGGCAACGAUGCGUAGCCGACCUGAGAGGGUGAUCGGCCACACUGGAACUGAGACACGGUCCAGACACCUACGGGAGGCAGCAGUAGGGAAUCUUCCGCAAUGGGCGAAAGCGUGACGGAGCAAAGCCGCGUGAGUGAUGAAGGUCUUCGGAUCGUAAAACUCUGUUAUUAGGGAAGAACAUAUGUGUAAGUAACUGUGAACAUCUUGACGGUACCUAAUCAGAAAGCCACGGCUAACUACGUG